UGUAGAGUUGCACAGGUGAGGCAUAUGGCGACCUCUGCAAAAUAUUUGCGCCUUGGAAACAUGUACCCCGUGUCAAAAGUUUCCAACGUGUCGAUCAAUCACUUCGUUUCCAACACACAAAUGUUGACCAAUCUUUAUUCACAUUGAGCGCAAUGCACUAAAAUAACGUAAAUAAUAAUCGUCCUAACAAAUUUAGUCGAUGACUUCGCCCAUAGUUUGUGGGUGGGGCAUGUUGCGUGUCAAGAUUGGGCCACACCAAAUUUCUGCAACUGCCGCUGAAAUGGCUGGGUUAGCCUACUAUGCGGUUGAACACAAUUACUUCCAGUCCCCGUAAAGCUGUUCCAUAAAGUCCAUCUCCACAAUCUCAUUCCACUUCCUUGGCCCGCCACAGUGAAGAAAGACAGCACCCCAAAAAACAAGAAUUCUUCUAGUUUCUCCCCGAAAAGUGGACGCCACGGCUGCAUUAUGGCAAAUCCGGUCACAACCCACAGCAGCAGGAGCAGCAGCAGCAACAGCAGCGGAACGAGGAGCA